rnacentral:rRNA from 1 species
UACACACCGCCCGUCACGCCAUGGAAGCUGGGGGACCUGAAGCCGGUGGGCUAACCGCAAGGAGGCAGCCGUCAAAGGUCAAUUCAGUGACUGGGGCG